rnacentral:rRNA from 1 species
AUUGAACGCUGGCGGCAGGCCUAACACAUGCAAGUCGAGCGAGCGGCGGACGGGUGAGUAAUGUCUGGGAAACUGCCUGAUGGAGGGGGAUCACUACUGGAAACGGUAGCUAAUACAGCAUACAAUACGAUGUGCCACGAUGGGAUUAGCUAGUAGGGGGGGGAACGGCUCACCUAGGCGACGAUCCCUAGCCGGUCUGAGAGGAGGACCAGCCACACUGGAACUGAGACACGGUCCAGAGUCCUACGGGAGGCAGCAGUGGGGAAUAUUGCACAAUGGGCGCAAGCCUGAGGCAGCCAUGCCGCGUGUGUGAAGAAGGCCUUCGGGUUGUAAAGCACUUUCAGCGGGGAGGCGUUACCCGCAGAAGAAGCACCGGCUAACUCCGUGCCAGCAGCCGCGGUAAUUC